rnacentral:rRNA from 1 species
UGGGGGAUAUUGCACAAUGGGCGAAAGCCUGAUGCAGCGACGCCGCGUGGGGGAUGAAGGCUUUCGGGUUGUAAACCUCUUUCGCUAUCGAACAAGGCCCGCUUAGGGUGGGGUGAGGGUAGGUGGAGAAGAAGCGCCGGCUAACUACGUGCCAGCAGCCGCGGUAAUACGUAGGGCGCGAGCGUUGUCCGGAAUUAUUGGGCGUAAAGGGCUUGUAGGCGGCUUGUUGCGCCUGCUGUGAAAACGCGGGGCUUAACUUCGGGAGUGCAGUGGGUACGGGCAGGCUUGAGUGUGGUACGGGUGGCUGGAAUUCCAGGUGUAGCGGUGGAAUGCGCAGAUAUCUGGAGGAACACCGAUGGCGAAGGCAGGUCACUGGGCCAUUACUGACGCUGAGGAGCGAAAGCAUGGGUAGCGAACAGG